AACGAACGCUGGCGGCAUGCCUAACACAUGCAAGUCGAACGAGAUCUUCGGGUCUAGUGACGCACGGGUGCGUAACGCGUGGGAAUCUGCCCUUUGGUUCGGAAUAACAGUUGGAAACGACUGCUAAUACCGGAUGAUGACGAAAGUCCAAAGAUUUAUCGCCAGAGGAUGAGCCCGCGUAGGAUUAGCUAGUUGGUGUGGUAAAGGCGCACCAAGGCGACGAUCCUUAGCUGGUCUGAGAGGAUGAUCAGCCACACUGGGACUGAGACACGGCCCAGACUCCUACGGGAGGCGGCAGUGGGGAAUAUUGGACAAUGGGCGAAAGCCUGAUCCAGCAAUGCCGCGUGAGUGAUGAAGGCCUUAGGGUUGUAAAGCUCUUUUACCCGGGAUGAUAAUGACAGUACUGGGAGAAUAAGCUCCGGCUAACUCCGUGCCAGCCGCCGCCGUAA
rnacentral:rRNA from 1 species